AUUAACAAGUUAGAUAUGAAAAUAGUGAUAAUUUUUACUGAGUACAUUGUAAACAAGCAAAAUUUCUUCAUACUUUCAACGAGUAAUGGGUUUGCUUUGGUCACAUCGAAUAUGAGUGAUGUAUUAUGUCGGAAAUUUCAUCUGCUGUUUACUCUUAAUGUUGUACAUUUGGUGAGUAUAUGAAAAAGGUAACUGUAGUUGCAAAAAUUGCAAUUUACAGUGUGUCCAUUUUUAACGGAAGCUAAGUGAUAAAAGCUAGUAAUUUAUCUAUUAUGAAGUAUGAAGUAAGAACAAUGAAAAAAUGACAUUUUAUGUUUGGAACAAUUUCGUGUCAAACACAUUGACUAUUGUUAUGAUGUAUAAUUAGAGAAAAGCUAAGAUUCUGUUUCAAUUAGGAAUAUAUCAAGAUAUUUUUUAAAAUGAACGAGAAAAUAAUAAAAUAAUUUAUAAAAAAGUUUAUAUUUUAAUAUUAAGUUUUUUACAUGUGAUAUUAUAAACAAAAAAUAAUGGAGAAUAAUUUCUUUGGGUAUGGUAUGAUUUACUAUGUGUUCUAUUGCAUUAAAUACCAAGGUUUCUGAAAAUCAUUUCUGAUCUAGUAAUAACUAGAAAUUUUCUUUUAUCCAAAAUCCAGGCUUUGCCUGACCACCAAAUAUGGUUAUUGUAUAAAAUAAUGAAGGUAAAUUUUGAUAAAAAUAAAUAAUAGAUUUUCUUUUUAAGAGAAAUUUCAUCUGAUGUUUACUCUUAAUGUUGUACAUUUGGUGAGUAUAUGAAAAUGGCAACUGCAGUUGCAAAAAGAGUGACUAUAGUUAUGAGAUAUAAUCAGAAAAAAGCUAAGAUCCUGUUUCGAUUAGGAACAUAUCAAAUAUUUUUUAAAAUGAACGAAACUACAGAUCGGCAAAAUAUGGUUUAAACAAAGCUGAAAAUGAUUUAUAGAGGAAAUAAUUUACAAAAGAACAGCAGUUAAUAAAUUAUAAUCGGCACAUUUUUAGUUAAUCAUACGGAAAUACGGAAAAGAAAAGUAGAUAGCAACCCAUAAUCCAUAAUUUAGUUAUAAACAGUAGGUAUUGCCAAAGUAUAUUGAAAUACUUCUUUUGUAAUAAUGAAUUUUACAAAUAAAUGUGAAUGUUCUAUAGUAAAAAGUAACCUUUAAAAAGAUUACUGAAAUAAUAAAUCAUGUAAUGGAUAACUAUUAAACUGCAAUCAAAUAAAAUCAAAUAAAACAAUUAUGCCAAGUCUUAUUGUUUUUAUGAUUUCAAAACAUUCACUAAAUACCUCAAGGAAUUAAGUAGAAGAAAUUGAUGAAUGCUAUGAAUAAAUUAGAAAUUUAUGACACAAUGUACUGAAAAGAACAAGAGGCUUAAAAAAAGAUCAGAAGAUUGAAAAUUCGUUUUAUAUAUAACUAAGUUUUAGAAUUGGUUAUUGGGUAGUUGCAAUGGAAUUAUUUUCUUAUUUCUCAAUAAAAAACUAUUUUGCACAAUUAUGAUAUGUCAUACUAAAUCCAGAUCUCGCGAUCGGUUCAAUUUAAUGAUUAAAUAUGUGUUUAUAAUUUUUAACACUGUAAAAUUAUGAAAAUUAUUACCUUCUUAACUUAAUUUUUCUAUCAUAUAUGUAUAUUAAAUUACUUAUUCAGUUAUAUAAAAAGUUGCCUUGUGACAUGAGUGUUUCAUAAACCACAUUUUUUAGUUAUAUGUCUAUAAUUUUCAUUUCCCAUUAUUAAUAAGAAAAAAAAAUAGUUUUAUUUAUUCAAAAGUGUUUGAUGUUUUUACUACAACUUUGUUUACAAAAAUUCCAGAUUUUUAAAAUAGUUAUAGAGAAAAAUGAAUUGUAAAUAACACAUUACUCAAUAAAUCGUAUGACUAACUAAGAAAAACACAUUUUUUUGUUAAAAAUCGAUUUUAUUCGUCAAUGUGAAAAGCAAUAAAAUCAAUCCAAUGCUUCUCUAAUUUGUCAAUGCCGUGCUUGUAAAAGGAUUUGUCUUUUGCCUCAAUUAGGGUUUCAAUUGCUGCUUCAUUUGAGCUGAAUUUUUUACCGACGAGCAUUUGUUUGAGAUGAAAAAGUAACCAUUAGUCACUGGGUGCAAGAUCUGGACUAUACGGUGGACGAGGAAGCAAUUUGAAUUUGAUUUUUGAAUAAGUGCAUUGUCUUGGUGAAACAGUGGUUUUUUAUUGGCCGUUUUUCCUUUAAUUUGAAUUCAAACGAUCCAACACUUCUAUGUAGUAUUCGUUAUUAAUUUUCUCUCUCUUUGGAGAUAGUCAAUGGAACAAUAUUCCAAGCGCACCCUAAAAUACUGAAGCCAUAAUCUUCCCAGUCUUUGGACGCUUCGGACGUGGUUCACCGGUUACACUCCAUUCAGAUGAUGAUAGUUUUGAUUCUAGAUGAAGUGAUGGAUCCAUGUUUCAUCCAUUGUCACAACAUUGCUCUGAAUCAUCAACACGUUGUUGUGUUUGAUCGACUAUUUUGAGACAAAACACAAUUCCUUCUACAAGUUCAGCAUCGAGAAGUUAGAGAAGUGAAAUCGAUUUUUGACAAAAAAAUGUGUUUUUCUUAGUUAGUCACACAACUUAUUGAGUGAUAUGUUAGUUAGAUUUCAUUUCAGUUUAGCUUUUAAGUAACAACAAUCGGUUUAAUUUUGUUGGAGAGUGUAUACAUGUAUUAUAUUUCACAUUGUAUGUUAAUGAACAAAGUAUGUAUUUUUAAACUCAACUGUUACUAUAUUAGACUUUUAAUGUAUUAA